rnacentral:rRNA from 1 species
AUUGAACGCUGGCGGCAUGCCUUACACAUGCAAGUCGAACGGUAACAGGUCUUCGGAUGCUGACGAGUGGCGAACGGGUGAGUAAUACAUCGGAACGUGCCCGAUCGUGGGGGAUAACGCAGCGAAAGCUGUGCUAAUACCGCAUACGAUCUACGGAUGAAAGCGGGGGAUCGCAAGACCUCGCGCGGACGGAGCGGCCGAUGGCAGAUUAGGUAGUUGGUGGGAUAAAAGCUUACCAAGCCGACGAUCUGUAGCUGGUCUGAGAGGACGACCAGCCACACUGGGACUGAGACACGGCCCAGACUCCUACGGGAGGCAGCAGUGGGGAAUUUUGGACAAUGGGCGCAAGCCUGAUCCAGCCAUGCCGCGUGCAGGAUGAAGGCCUUCGGUUGUAAACUGCUUUGUACGGAACGAAAAAGACUCUCUCUAAUACAGGGGUGAAUGACGGUACCGUAAGAAUAAGCACCGGCUAACUACGUGCCAGCAGCCGCGGUAA